GAGCAGUCACACAGCAUAGACGGGAGCAGCCCUCUGCUCCUGGGACACCAAAACGCAGCAGCUGGCCCAAGGCCAUGGAAGGCUGUUUCUGAUAUUCAGUCUAUCCUGGGCUCACCAGAGAAGCACUGUGAGCAGCCAUAGCUCCAUCACACCUUGUUGCUCAAUUAUGCCUGCACUCCCCAACUCCCCGGGGUCUCAUUAUACAGGCCUCUACCUGAGAUCCUUUCACUUGGAGAUGUCAGAGAGACAACCCCUGGGUCCUUCUCCAUGCAAUGCAUAUGUCCUACAAGGAAGCUCUGGGCCUACCUGGGCUACAGGUAAUGACAUAAGAAGCUACGAUCCCAAAGAAAUAAUCUUUCGAUCUGGCGGCAGCUCUCCGAUCCCACAGGUGAGAGAUAGAUGGACUAGAUCCUGAGGCUUUCUGCAUGUGUAAUGGAUAUGCUCUACGACUGAGCUUUGGACCCGAUCUACCAUCACUGGAUUAGGCAGGUUGUUGAACACCUAAUUAAAAGGCUGGAUUCCCACUACAACUGACCUUGUGAAAAAUGAGCUGCCUCACUCUACUGCCAGGAGUGUAUGAUUGAUUCUUUAUUGACAAGAAUGUGAUGUAUGUGCUCCCAAAGGGAAUGGAGCUGAGGGGCACACUUCAAGAAUUGUUCUGCAACUGGAUCUGGACUAUCCAGCUGAACCAGGCAGUUGGCGAGAUGGGCUUUCAGACCAGACACGCUGGAGUAGAUGGCUGCGCAACACUGAAACAGAAAACCGAACAAAACAAGACAGCAAGACAGAUGGUGAAUAGGAAAUGUAUUGAUUAAUUGUACUUCUCAUCCUGCCUUCCUGUGCACCCCCACUGUGUUCAGAGUAGCUAACAAAAGGAAAAUAAACAAAAUGAAUGUUUUAAAAAAAUUCCAGUCUUCAUAGAUUUACCUGUUAUCUCCCAGUGAGGACUAUGCUAAUCUUCUUCUAAACAAGUAUAGGUUACUUGAUCGCAUGGCUGGGCACCUUGUUCCAACCUCAGAGCGAGUGACUCUUUCCAGAUGCUGUGGGGCCAGAUGGCAGAGUGGGACACACAUGUGAAGACCGACUGCCCCUAGAGUAUUACAGCCUGUGCAGACACUGCCUAAAUCAUCUCAGAUAAGUCCAGAGUAUCUUCCUAUACACGCACCAAUAAAUCUAAAAACUCUACCUAGGUCAGAAGAGAUUCAUGGCUUCUGGAUACUUGAAUCAGAUUUCUUACUUUGGGUAUAUCAUGAGAUGGCAUGACACACUGGAAAAGACCAUGCUGGGAGGAAAGGAAGCUAGUAGGAAGAUAGAUUGCAGAUGGAUUGACUCAGUCAAGGAAGCCACGGCUUUGCUUUUGCAAGACCUGCAAAGAACAGUUGAUGACUGGGGCUCCUGAUGAUCUGGCAUUCAUAUGUUUAAUUAUCACUUUUAUAUGUUUUUAGUUGUACUGUGUUUUUAAACUGUAAGCCACUUUGAGUCCCAAUUUUGGGGAGAAAGCAGGUUACUAAUAAACAGCAGCAGCAGCAGCAGCAACAACAACAACAGGUUUGCUAUUAGUUGAAGCAGAUUUGACGGCAACUAACAACAAAUUUUACUCUGGACCCAACAGGAAGUGACAUGACUUAUUGGAAAAGAUAAUAAUUCUCAGCAAAAUGGAAGAAAGUAGGAAAAGAGGAAGACCACAUUACAGAUGGAUUGAUUCAAUCAAAGAAGCCAUGAUUCUGAGUUUGUGACUUCUGAGACAGGCUGUUAAUAACAGGGUCAUUGGGAGGCCUCUCAUUCAUAGGUCACCAUAAGUCAAAAGCUGAAUUGAUGGCACGUAAUAACAAUUGCACGAAUACUGAACUUAGGAUCUUGAUCAAAACAGACAAAGCUCAAGUAGCACACAACCAACAGUUGUGAAAGAAAGAUCUGAAAGACAAGUUCUCCCCAAAUGAGCCUACCUGAAUGUUAUGAUCUUUAGAGGAUGGAAUUCUCUUUGUCUCUAUGGGAUUCUCUUCCAAGAGAAUCACUUGUCCUCCUCCUCUUGGCUCUUUUCACUAGCAGAUUAAAUGGAAAAUCCAUUGAAAGGACUGGGACUCCCAAGCGUGCAAAAAACAGCUAAUCAGAAGUCUCCAGAAGCCUUGGAUUCAACUUUGGAAGCCCAGGACGGGUAUUUGAAGAGGUGUCAUAUUGAGGAUGGAGCAAGCUUAU